CGGCUCGGGUCUUGGCACGGCCCCCGGGAUGUGACGCUCUCCUCGGGGUGAGUCCGCUUUGACCCGCCCCCUGCCACUGCUCUGACUCUGGGCUCUGCGGAGACUUUUCGAUUGGCUGCACAGAAGUCCUCCACGCUAACCACUGUAUCCUGACGAUCGAUUCAUCAUUAUUAUCCGCAGUCAGAAGCUUCAUGUGCAGCGAGAUUGCAUCGUCCUGUACAAGUAG
rnacentral:lncRNA from 1 species